CAAUAGCGUAUAUUAACGUUGUUGCAGUUAAAAAGCUCGUAGUUGGAUUUCUGGAGGGAGCGUCGGCCCGUAUUUACGAGUGCGUGACGUCUCUGUCCAUCCUUGCGGGAAGGCACGGCAUUGAUUUGUUGUGUCGGAUCGCAUCAUUUACUGUGAAAAAAUUAGAGUGCUCAAAGCAGGCCUUCGCUUGAAUACAUUAGCAUGGAAUAAUAGAAUAGGACUUUGGUUCUAUUUUGUUGGUUUCUAGGACCGAAGUAAUGAUUAAUAGGGAUAGUUGGGGGCAUUAGUAUUUAAUUGUCAGAGGUGAAAUUCUUGGAUUUAUGAAAGACUAACAUCUGCGAAAGCAUUUGCCAAGGAUGUUUUCAUUGA
rnacentral:rRNA from 1 species